GGGGUUACACCUCUUCCCUUUCCGAACAGAGAAGUUAAGCCCGGUUGCGCCAAUGGUACUGCAAGUUUUGUGGGAGAGUAGGGAGCUGCCGGUU
rnacentral:rRNA from 1 species